UCAAAAUUAUGAUGUUGGUCAAAGUGGU
rnacentral:piRNA from 1 species